rnacentral:rRNA from 1 species
GGAGUUAGCCGGUGCUUCUUCUGUGAGUGAUGUCCUUCCUGCCGGCUAUUAACCCGCAGGCCUUCUUCCUCACUGAAAGUGCUUUACAACCCGAAGGCCUUCUUCACACACGCGGCAUUGCUGGAUCAGGGUUGCCCCCAUUGUCCAAUAUUCCCCACUGCUGCCUCCCGUAGGAGUCUGGGCCGUGUCUCAGUCCCAGUGUGGCUGAUCAUCCUCUCAGACCAGCUACGGAUCGUCGCCUUGGUGAGCCGUUACCUCACCAACCAGCUAAUCCGACAUAGGCUCAUCCGAUAGCGCGAGGCCCGAAGGUCCCCCGNUUUCCCCCGUAGGGCGUAUGCGGUAUUAGCCUGGGUUUCCCCCAGGUUAUCCCCCGACUACCGGGCAGAUUCCUAUGCAUUACUCACCCGUCCGCCGCUCGCCACCAGGGAGCAAGCUCCCCGUGCUGCCGCUCGACUUGCAUGUGUUAGGCCUGCCGCCAGCGUUCAAUCUGAGCCAGAAUCAAACUCUGA